GGUUAAGUGACUAAGCGUAUACGGUGGAUGCCUUGGCAGUCAGAGGCGAUGAAGGACGUAUUAACUUGCGAUAAGCCCAGAUUAGGCAGUAAAAGCCACUUGAGUCUGGGAUUUCCGAAUGGGGAAACCCACUAGCAUAAGCUAGUAUCGCUGCGUGAAUACAUAGCGCAG
rnacentral:rRNA from 1 species